rnacentral:rRNA from 1 species
AUGCCCAAGCGCCUCCUGCUGCGAGCUCCACCAGGACCACGUCGCCGCCCCGCCCCCAAGUUCGCUGCCGCCAAGCACCGCCAUGGCCAUGCCCGACGCCGCCAGCAGGGCCCCGUUCCCAUCUCCGGCACCUCAAGACCCAUGCCCGAGCCCUCUGCUCGAGCAGGAGCUUCGCCUUCUUGCUUCGUGACAAGGCCGACGUCGGCCACUUCGCCUUCGCCUCCUGCUGCCGGCGCACCACCAGACCUCCCCCUCGCCCCAUCCAUCACGCUGCCUGUUGGCCCUCCGUUUUUCCUCGCCGAGAGGAUGCCAAGUACCACAACGUCGAUGCCCCUCAAGUUCGACUACGUGUAA